AGAGUUUGAUCCUGGCUCAGGAUGAACGCUGGCGGCGCGCUUAACACAUGCAAGUCGAACGGUUAAAGCACCUCCGGGUGUGCAUAAAGUGGCGAACGGCUGAGUAACACGUGGGCAACCUGCCCCCCGCACCGGGAUAGCCUCGGGAAACCGUGGGUAAUACCGGAUACUCCGCCACCCCCGCAUGGGGGAGGCGGGAAAGCGUACACGGCGGGGGAUGGGCCCGCGGCCUGUUAGCUCGUUGGCGGGGUAACGGCCCACCAAGGCGAUUAUGGGUAGCCGGGUUGAGAGACCGACCGGCCAGAUUGGGACUGAGACACGGCCCAGACUCCUACGGGAGGCAGCAGUGGGGAAUCUUGCACAAUGGGCGAAAGCCUGAUGCAAGCGACGCCGCGUGCGGGAUGAAGGCCCUCGGGUUGUAAACCGCUUUCAGCAGGGACGAGGCGCAAGUGACGGUACCUGCAGAAGAAGCCCCGGCUAACUACGUGCCAGCCGCGGC
rnacentral:rRNA from 1 species